rnacentral:rRNA from 1 species
CAAAGGUGAGCCAGUACAGGAUGGACCCGCGUCUGAUUAGCUAGUUGGUAAGGUAACGGCUUACCAAGGCGACGAUCAGUAGCCGACCUGAGAGGGUGAUCGGCCACAUUGGAACUGAGACACGGUCCAAACUCCUACGGGAGGCAGCAGUGGGGAAUAUUGCACAAUGGGCGAAAGCCUGAUGCAGCAACGCCGCGUGAGUGAUGAAGGCCUUCGGGUCGUAAAACUCUGUCCUCAAGGAAGAUAAUGACGGUACUUGAGGAGGAAGCCCCGGCUAACUACGUGCCAGCAGCCGCGGUAAUACGUAGGGGGCUAGCGUUAUCCGGAUUUACUGGGCGUAAAGGGUGCGUAGGCGGUCUUUCAAGUCAGGAGUGAAAGGCUACGGCUCAACCGUAGUAAGCUCUUGAAACUGGGAGACUUGAGUGCAGGAGAGGAGAGUGGAACUCCUAGUGUAGCGGUGAAAUGCGUAGAUAUUAGGAGGAACACCAGUUGCGAAGGCGGCUCUCUGGACUGUAACUGACGCUGAGGCACGAAAGCGUGGGGAGCAAACAGGAUUAGAUACCCUGGUAGUCCACGCUGUAAACGAUGAGUACUAGGUGUCGGGGGUUACCCCCUUCG